rnacentral:misc_RNA from 1 species
GAUGAAGAACGUAGCGAAAUGCGAUACGUAAUGUGAAUUGCAGAAUUCAGUGAAUCAUCGAGUCCUUGAACGCACAUUGCGCCCCCUGGUAUUCCGGGGGGCAUGCCUGUCCGAGCGUCAUUGCUGCCCUCAAGCACGGCUUGUGUGUUGGGCCUCCGUCCUCCUCCCGGGGGACGGGCCCGAAAGGCAGCGGCGGCACCGCGUCCGGUCCUCGAGCGUAUGGGGCUUCGUCACCCGCUCUUGUAGGCCCGGCCGGCGCUUGCCGACACAUCAAUCUUUUUUCCAGGUUGACCUCGGAUCAGGUAGGGAUACCCGCUGAACUUAAGCAUAUCAAUAAGCGGAGGA